GUUGCAUUAGGGGCUCCUUAUCUGAAAGGCCCAGGGAGUUCUCGCUGCCCAAUGGCAAUUUGCCCACUGCCAUGUUUGAAAGGCCCGGGGAAUUCUCAGGGAGACUCCCAACACUCACUCUCUGAGUUUCUGCUACGUGUCCACUAUGCAAAAUGUGGUGAGUCUUUGUCCCCUGAUACCUUACCCUGGGGUGAACAGGGUCAGCUUGUUUUGUGAAAGAGGUGUUUCUGCAAAGUCUGGUGUUCAGCUGACCCUCCCUCCCUCCCUGUUGUCUUCAAAUCCAGAAAUGUCUUCCUUCAAAGCUUAGUCACUCAGGCGUGUGAUGAAUUUCUGUUGGUGACUUCCUGCCAGAUGUGUAGUCCAGGGAGGUGUAUCAAAUACAGGUCCAGUUCACUGGGGCCCUCGGGUCCCCCCCGGAGCAUGUUCCAGUAGAGAUGUGAGCAGUCAAACAGGGACACCGGCCCUGGGAGUAAACGGUGUGACAGUCCAGAGGACAGUAGCUAACUGUGGUCAGAGGGGCAGAGUGGCCUUCAGCAAAGGUGCUGCUUCAUCGAAGCCAAAAUCAGCGUCCUGGAAGAUGAGCAGGAGUGUGGCAGGGGAAGGCAGGAGACUGGUAGGAGGCAGGGUUGGGGGUCCAAGCAGAUACGGAUACGCAUGCAAACUGCAGCUGCUAGAGUAAAACUGUGGUGGUGGGAUAAUAAUAAUGAUGAGCCGGGCGUGGUGGUGCACACCUGUAAUCCCAGCUGCGUGGGAGGCUGAGGCAGGAGGAUCGUGCCUCAGCAACUUAGUGAGAACCUGUCUCAAAACAAAAAAUAAAAAGGGCUGGGGAACCAGACCCAGUGGCACACACCUGUAAUCCCAGUGGCUCUGGAGGCUGAGGAAGGAGGAUUAUGAGUUCAAAGCCAACCUCAGCAAUUUAGCAAGGCCUGAAGCAACUCAGUGAGACACUGUCUCUAAAUAAAAUACAAAAAAAAGAAAAGAAAAGAAAAAAUAGGGCUGGGGAUGUGGCUCAGUGGUAAAGUACCCCUAGGUUCAAUCCCUGGUAUACCUCUCCUCCACCCCCGCAAAAUAAUUCAAUCAGGGGAAAGCAGAGCAGAGGAGGCCAAAGAUGGAGGCCUCUCUUCAAUGCAGACCCAGCUCUGAACUCAGGACAGCCCUGGCCGGGGAUGGUCCAGGUGGUGUGGCUCCAUCUGUGGUCCGAUGGCAUUAAACUGCAGCUCUUUGACAAGGACCCCCCAAAACAGGCACCACCCUGAAGCUACAUAGAGCCACUUAAAUUGAUGCAAGAGAAGGGGGGAGACCUUAGGAAAGUCCUUGCUUCGACCUUACUGAGUCUGGGAUUCUCCAUCAGGGAAGGGGGACGCUUGACCCCUCCAGUCCCUGCUGGCCUCUGACUCUCACCAGCUCCCCGUCCCCAGCCUGCCUCCCGAGCUCCCGUCUCACGGCCCAUCUAGAGUCUUGGUAGCCAAGACAGGACAACAUGCCUCCUUGCUCUGCCGUGUGGGAGGCAGGAAGUGGCCCAACUCCCUGAGGAGAUGAGGUUCCUGUGGUGUGUCCAGCUGCCCACUCCUCAGGACACCCCACGCUCCCCGGUGUCGGGCCAGGAAGGAGGCCACACAGGGCCACCAGCAGCCUGACCCAGGAACUCAGGCUGUGGCUAGAGAUGGCGUUGGCUGAGCCUCCUCCACGGGAGGGGGCCCACUGUGCCUGGGAAGGGUCCCCUGGCCAACAGCCGAGGCCAGGCCUCUCCCUCCCACAGGCCACACGUGGGCAGAGCUAGAGGAGGCACCAGCUGCGGCAGAGAAACCAUGACCAGGCAGAAUUAGGAACUCCUGGUCAGUCCAGAGGGGCUUGGUGGCCAGGAUGGGGAGAGCAGUGGAGACCACAGGCCAGAGCUGUCCCCGGGGGCCACCCGGCAGGAACUGCUGUCAAUCAGAAUCCUAGACCAGAGCCUGGGCGAGCGGGGGCUGAAAGGAGACUUCCUGGUUUAGGGAACCCACCGGGCACCCCCCACGGGCGUCUCCUAGUGGAAUGUAAAUGCAGCUGUUUUGUUUUGUUUUUCGCUUUUUGUUUUUUAUUUUUUUGUUACCUGGGAUUGAACUCAGGGGCUCUCGACCACUGAGCCCCAUCCCCAGCCCUAUUUUGUAUUUUAUUUAGAGACAGGGUCUCCCUGAGUUGCUUAGCGCCUUGCUUUGGCUGAGGCUGGCUUUGAACUCACGACCCUCCUGUCUCAGCCUCCCGAGCGGCUGGGAUUACAGUUGUGCACCACGACGGCGCCCAGCCUCCCACCCGUUUUUAAUGGAGGUGAGAUGGGAAUCGCAGGUGGGACCCUCUGUUACCAUCACCCAGCCCGUGACUGUGGGAAGGAGGACUUUCAACCUCUGGCCUUCUAGAAUGUCAUUGUUUUAGAUAUAAACUGUGCCCUCUGUAGGCUGGACAAAGACCUGGGUCUGUAAUCCACGGUGGAGAUGGACAGUAAGCCAAGACCUCGCAGGCUUGCUGUGAUUCCCCAUCGAUGGAGGCAGACUUCCCACAGGAGACCGAGGGAGGGCCUUCUUGUCUGUCUGAUAAAGGCAAAUGGAAGCCCAGAUAAUAAGGGAAAGGCAUGCACAGGAGCCACCUGGGCUGGAAAACACCCCGGCCCUGGAGCCAGCCUGUGGUAACCGACUGCUCUCUGGCCCCUCUGGGGGCACAGAUGGUCCAGUGGCCCCACCAGGGCGCUUUCGGACAUGAAGGUGGAGAAGAUACUAGCCGGGCGCAAGGAACGCCGUAGCCGCUUUGGAGAGGUCAAUGUGCACAAGCGCUACCAGUCUGGGCAGGUCUUCUCUCCUUUCCAGGCUCUUGCCACCAUGGUGAGCUCUUCUUUUAUAAUGGGUUUUAAAUAAAGUCUUCAAGGGGAGACUCAGUGCUUUCUCCUUUCAGAGAGUGUAUUAGUCAGUUCUGGCCGCAAUGAUGCUGCGUAACAAAGGACCCUAAAAAUCUCAUAGCUUGUGAUCGUGUCAAUGCUUCUCACCCAUCUUCUGUGGAGAAAUAUAUUCCUUUUGUUUACUGGAAGCCCACAGUGCAGAAGGGAGUAAAGAAUUGAGAAUAAUCAUCCCAUCUGACACCAGACUUAGUCCCUGUGUCAGAUGGGAGGAUGACCUAAAGCUCAGAGGAAGAUCUGGAGGCAGUGGUUACAGCUUUGUACUUAAAGAUGAGGUGAUUUCAAGGGAAAGGGGUGGACAGGGGAGGAAGAAGUUUUUGUUAUGUAUUCUUGUGGUCCUAAAAUGCACCUGUGCCCAUGAAACACUUGAGGAGCCUCAUUAAAAUGUAGAUUCCAAGGCUUAUAAUGAUUUCAGCUUGGAGGGUCUCAGGUGGGGCUUGGAAUUUCCUUGUUAAACCCCCUCUACGGGCCACCCUUGCACAUUCUUACCCAUUCAGCACAUCCUGAUCCUGACAUUUCGAGGCUCCCAUGGAAAAUGGUAUAUUUUGGAAGGCACUUGGGGCUCAACUCAGGAGGUUACCAAUGGAGCUAAAUAGCCAGCCUGCCCAAGCAUGAAGGGGACCAACAUGUCACCCGACUCAUUCACACCUCCACAGUGUGCACUGGGACCCAGGUCAGGAGCGUGGGUUCGUCCUCAUUUAUCCUUUUCUGAACACCAGAAUGAGUGAUUAGACAUGCUGGUGUCCAGCCUCCCCCUAAAACAAAUAGAUUAGUAGGUCUGGGGUGGUUCCCAGAUAUCAGAUCAAAGGGUUUUAAAGCUCUACGGAGAAGAGUGAGCAACUCCUCCUGGUUUCUUAGUUCUCCCCUUCACACUUGUUCCAGAACUUUCCAACUUUUAGUACUUUUAAAUCCUGAGUCACAAAACCCCUCAGUCCCUCUUUUAAAAACCAAAGUCCCAGGUCCUUGGAACCAGAGAAAAUCAGAUGCUGGUUCCUGUCUGCCUGUGAUUCCCAGGCACAGCAAAUUAGAGCGCUACUGCUCUUCGCACUUCUGGAUUUUCUAGCCCAGAUUCCUGCUCGACCCAUCCACUGGACGACAUCCCUUGAGCAUGCCUGUGUGCAAAGCCCUGAGCUAAGCACUCUGGAGACACCUAGGACUGAAAUCUCAACUCCACCCUUAAGCCUCUUGCAAUCUGCUAGGAGAACCAAGCCACGCGCCCAAAUCAGGCAACAAACACAAAGAACUGUUCACAAGAACAGCUUCCUAAAUGGACAGACCUCAAAGGAGAUGAGUCAUUUUCUAUUACCUCUAUCCCCACCUCCAAAAUCUUGCCACAAAACAAAGUCUCCAAGAGGGACACUCCCCAGAGGAAGAGAACGUCUCCCGUAUACAGGGAGCAACAGAGCCCACGUAGUAAGUGCUUGCUGCAUGCAAGGUGUGAAACUGCAGGCUUUACAGACAGUUAAUUCUCACGACCUCCGUGAUACUGACAUAGCACUCAUUUUGAGCAGGAAACGGUCUGAAACGUGUUAAGCAACUUGCCUAAGAUCAUUACUAGUCUGUGCCAGAGCCAGCGUGUGGACCCCCCCCAGGGCUCUUGAGCAGGUGCUCCCAACCCCCAGGCCCUAUUUCACUGCCACCCUUCUCUGCCCCCUAGGAGAUGCGAAGGCUGGUGUUUCCCCGAGACGUGCCCAUGAGCUCUGACGCACAGAGAGUGGGUCCUUCGUCCCUCAAAGACAUCAGACUCCAAGAUUUACCCCUGUCUUCCACAGAGCUGGGCUUGGGGAAGGAUGACAAGCCCCAUGAAAGGGAGAAACCAGUAAACCACACUAAAACACCUCUAUUUCCCCCGAUAGUCAAAGCAACAAAAUAUAAAGACAUGAAAUAAAAAUUACAAAACCGCGUUCUGACCCCUUGCUGCGAGACUUCGCAUCAAAGCAGUUAGUGCAUAGGAACCCAGGAAUGCUGAGAUGCUCUCACACCUGACAUGGUGCCCCCCGUGUGAAUACCUUGGGGAGGGCACAGCCAUCAGGAACUGCCUCGCGCAACUAGAACUGCAUCCUCAAUGAGAACCCUUUCUCAGAAACCUGAAAAUGAACUGGGCAUUUUGGCAGAUGCCUGAAAUCCUAGUGACGUAGGAGGCUGAGGCAGGAGGAUCUCAAGUUCAAGGACAGCCUCAGAAACUUAGUAAGACCCUCUGCAAUUUAGCAGGACCCUGUGUCAAAUUUUAAAAAAAAAUUCUGGGGAAUGUAACUCAGUGGUAAAGCACCUCCGGGUUCAAUCCCCAGUACAGAG
rnacentral:lncRNA from 1 species